rnacentral:rRNA from 1 species
UACGUAGGGCGCAAGCGUUUAUCCGGAAUCAUUGGGCGUAAAGCGCACGUAGGCGGUCUGUUAUGUCGGAUGUGAAAGCCCUUGGCUCAACUGAGGAAGUGCAUCCGAAACUGGCAGGCUGGAGUACUAAAGAGGGUCGCGGAAUUCCCGGUGUAGAGGUGAAAUUCGUAGAUAUCGGGAGGAACACCGGUGGCGAAGGCGGCGACCUGGGUAGAUACUGACGCUGAGGUGCGAAAGCGUGGGGAGCAAACAGG